AGCCUGUUCGCAGGCUACAGGAAAUUUGCAAGUGUAACCGUUUACACUUGCAAUUUUCCUGUAGCCUGCGAACAGGCUCU